rnacentral:lncRNA from 1 species
AGCUAUGACAUGAUUGACUUUUGGGACGUUCUCUUACAAGGUUUGGUUACCUUCUUUAAUCAAAUUUUAAAAUAGUAAAUUUAACUUUUACAAUAAGAGUAAAACUAGCUAGCUAUAUCUUUAUACGUGUACUUAAUAUACAUAGGAAAAAACAAGUGUAUAAAAUUUGUUAAAGAUAUUAUUCAUAGAUAGAAUAUUAAACUUGAAUAAGCUUUCACUAGCUUUGAUAUGAACACAAGAAGCAGUUAUGACUUUGUUGGCAAGAAUGCGCAGUUGCAUUAGAAGCCAAACUACUUUGAAAUGAAAGAUUGAAAAUAUAAUGUCUUAGAUUUUUUUAAUCAUACAAGUUCACGAGUUCUAUAUUUGAUGCAAAAAGUUGUUUGGAACUCGAGUAUGACAUGAAGCUACUAUUCAAGAUAUGUAGUCAUUUGCCUAUGUAAUAACUUAUUUCUUUUAUGGUAAGGCAGAGAUAAUUAUUGUAUAUAGAAAUUGUGAGAGGCUCUAUAUUUGACAUGAUAGAUUAAAAUGGGACACCAUAACAAUCUUACUCUUGAUUAAUUUAGUUACUAACCAAAUACAGCUUUAGUUGGAAUUAUUUUUUCCUAUAUUAAUGGCUAUUUUUUCUACACCCACAUGCCACAGGAUACAGGAAAUUUCAACAAUGUAGGUUAUUUAUUUUUUCUUGUGAGCUUUUGUUUGACAUUGCUAUAUUUUAUUUACCUGAUAAGGGUUGUAUUAAUGUAUGUGGAUAUCUUUUGGUGAUUAGGUCAUGCCAUUUAUUAGGAAUUAGUCAAGAGAAGUCCCAUUGGUGUAGAAGAAGUUGCUAUUCAUUGUCUCUCCCUUCUUCUCCUAUAUUCCCAUGGAAGCAAUAAAAAUGCUGCUACAGAUGGACGUUUUUGCUAUUGUGAUGCUGAAGUAAAGCUGCAAAUUAUUGUAAAGAAGUUGGGGGUUUAUGCUGGAGUUCGUUGUGAAUAAGAAAAGAGAGUGUUAUUUCUACUCCAUUAUUGCACAUAUUUGAAUUGUUUUUUUUGUUGUUGAAUAAAGUUCUCCCAUAUCUCUUAAACCAAU